GGGAGGUGUUUUGGGCUCUGCCCGCUCUUCGGGCGCCCUCUGGUGGCGGCGGGUUCUCUUGGACGGGAUCUACACGCUUGCCGCGCAAGCGUCAUUCUGAUUGGUUGUCUGGGAUUGGGGCGGAGCCAGGGCUUCUGCCACGGCUGCCUCUUGGGGUUGUGGCUGUCUUGUCUGGCCCCGCCUGUCCGGCGCCAUCUUUAAGGGGCAGGGAUUUGCUGCGCAGGUGCAGUCUUGGCUGAUUGCUGUGUCGGGCUGGGCUUGCGGGUCGUGUCCUCGGCAGUGCCUGGAGGCUGUGGGGUGCUGGCAGUGGAGGUGCCACCCUGACUGCUGUCUUUUCUGGUUGGUUCUUUGGCCCAACCUGCGACUUCAGGUGGAGCCAGCUCUGCCUUCUUGAUCUUUCACCUUCUUGGAGACAGCUGGCAAGAAAGAGGGACUAGGUCCAAGCGCUAGGUGGCUGAGUCCAGCCAGAGACCCGCACCAGGGAGACCAUCGAGUUCUGGGUCCUGAGCACCACCUGGCCAUCAGCCCUAAGGAGUGCCAGCCUUGGGUCCGAGAGAGACCAGAGAACUGCCAGGCACCGCCCUGUGCUAGAGCACUGCAAGGAGAUGCACCAGCCCGACGACGACAGCAGCAGCGACAUGACCAGUGACGAUGAGAUGAGCCCCAACAGAGGAGCCCCACCACCUAGACCAGGCCGCUCGUCCAGCAGUGAGUCGCCACCCACCAGUCCCAACACCCUGGGUUUGUCUGCCAGGAAUGCCCACCUGCAGGCAGAGA
rnacentral:lncRNA from 1 species